CCUCCCCCAAAGCUUGGCAAUUGUGGAUCUGUUGGUAUUAUUUCUAAAACUCAGAAUGAGAAGAAUUACUGAGAUAAUAGAGGCUCUGGUUCCACAAUAGACAAGACACCUGGAGGAGAGGGAUGCGAUUGACUCAACCGUCCAGAACUCUGUCUUCCAUCAUUGAACCAUGCUUUGAAUCUCUCCUUACACAUGGAUUGGUUUCCUUGGGAGAAGGAAAGGAGGGCUUCCCAGAAACUUGAUAGGAGUACAUCCCACGGGUGCAUGAUGUGGGAGCACCAGUGGAACCUGGCACUUGAGAGGAGCCCCCAGAAACUUAUUCUAAAGAACAAAGGUUUGAAAACACCCCAUCAACUGUGUUGACUGUAAAACAUUAUACAAAUCAAUUAUAAAAUUAAUGAAAGAUGCAAAAGCCAUUGGAAACAGAUCCACACAGAGUUUAGCAGCUGGGAAGUUUCUGAUGCUGUAAUUUCCCCUUUUGCAGCUGCCACCCUCUGAGUUUUGGACAGAACUAGCAGAAGAAUGAAUGUUCUGGAGCCUAAGCUGGGUUUGAUUGACUAAGAAAGAAAGAACCCUCACUGGUCAUAGGAUAUCUUUAGACUGGAUUUAAACAGCAACAUAGUUCAGUGGAUGUGAUUUAAUUUGUUUCCCCAAACAGCUGGGGUUCCCUCCCCUCAACUGGUUUCUCAGGCUCUGUUUGCAUUUGUAACCUUCAAAUAGCCACAAGUUAAUAGAUGGGGGAAACAUGUCAAAGUAGAUGAAUAGGGGUGCCAACUUGUUUCUUAAUAACUAAUUAUGCAUGGAAUUUAUCAUCACCCUCCACACAUCCUCUUCCUUAAUAACAGUUGACACCCUGCGUUUUCUCACUGGCGUCAGCCCAUCAGUGAGAGUUUUUUUUUCCUUUUUUCCUCAAAUAAAGACGUCACCUCAAUACAGAAUCAGCAGUAUCAGAUGAUUUGCUGGGGCUUUUAGUGAUUCAACUGGGAGGCAAGAGGAGGGGAGGGGGGAGUGGCCUCUGGUGCCUGAACCAAUUUUUGAUCUGCAAAAGCUGGUGAGGUGAGAAAUGGCCCUGUUCUGGGGGGGUGGCAUGAAUGGGAUUGGGGGGCUGGGAAGGGAGUGGAGGCUGAGAUGGAUGGUUGCCCAGGUCUCCCUGGAGGGCAGCCACGACAGAUCUGUUUGACUCAAUCUCAUAGGCCCCGAUCGCCCAAGGUACAUCCUCCGAGCUUUAAACCUCCCCUUCCAAGUUCCUCCAAUGUCUCGUUUAAAUUCCUUGUGAUUCCAUUUAAGCCUGUUUCAUCUCCAUCUUUUUCUUUUCUGGAAGCUGUGGAAAGUUGCUCUGCAGUGAUGACACAAGCCCCGUGGACUACAAAAUCAUAACCAGCUUUAUCUUGAUCCCUCCCCUGCAGGGGAUUUUGCAGUUUCUGCCAAGAUCCUCCUCUUUACACCCUGUCUGUCACUCUGCCCUCCUGGUGGCUGUAGUCUUGCUGAAUUCUCCUUCCCAGGGUCAGGUGGCUCCAGCUUGGCUGUCAAGCAGAACCUGUCCCCUCAGAAAUGAGCUACGGAGAAGGCAGCUGAGUCACAUCCGGCAAAGUCCUAAAGAAGGAAUGACAGAGGGGGCAGAUCCAGCUGGCAGACAUUUUAUUUGGCCUGCAGUUGUUUUCUUAAAAAAUUAGAAGUUUUAGCCAAAAGCCCAGGUUUUGGGUGUCUCAGAGAGCCUUACAACCUGGCCACCCCAAGCCCAUGUUCCUAGAAGGCAGCGGGCGCCCUGCUGCAGCUGAGCAGCAAGCACCCUCUUCUGAUGGGGUGCCUGCUCUCGAGGUGCCCCCAAGCCCUGCCACACCAUUUUAUUCCUGCUGCCCUUAUUCAUUCUCCUUCCUAGUGCUCAGAAGCAUCUGGGUUUGGAUUCCACCCCGGAAGGAAAAUAUCUCAAAUACCAGGUGGCGCACACCUGGUCCCUGCUCUGUGACAGCCUGUUUGUUUAGCCUAGUGAUGGACUCCCUGGGAUAUUCUGUGUCUGUGCUGGGCUGAAUUGUGUUCCCUCAAAUUCAUAUGUUGAAGUCCUCACCCCUAGGACGUGAGAAAAUGAAUGUAUUUAGAAAUAAGGUCUUUGAGAGGUAAUUCAAGUUGCAUGAAGUAAUGAGGGAGGCCCUAAUCCAUUAUGAAUGGGUCUUUAUAAGAAGGGACACCACCGAUGUGCAUGCAGAGGACAGGCCAUCUGAGGACACAGCAAAAAGGUGCCAUCCUCAAGCCAAGCAAAGACACCGCAGAAUAAAUCAACCUUGCCGACACCCUGCGCUCAGACUUCCAGCCUGCAGGAACAGCGGCCCUAGCGAAGGAACAUGGUAGCCCACAGUGACACCCAGCCCUCCCUGCCCGCUGCCAAAAGUAAUUCUGUCAGUUUCUUGCCAACCACGAGCCUCAACUAAUAAAUAGCCUUCCUCCCGCAGUCUGAUCAGGUCUCCUUCCUCUUCCCCACGGCCCUGUCUUGAACUUUUUCUGGUAUUUUAUUACAAGCUGCACAUGUGAAGGCUUGUAAAGUAAGGUGGAUGAGUUGAAGUCUUGGCAAAAAUGGAGAUGGAAUGUCAGAAAUGGCAGCAAAUAUUUGCUGACACAUGCCAGGGCUUUGUGGGCACAUCUGAAUGUUGUGAAUGGACAAAUACUAAUCUCAGCGUCUUUGGAAAAUACGAAUAGUGUCUGAAAGAACUCAACACCUAGAUCAUGCCUUCUCAAA